rnacentral:rRNA from 1 species
UACAGAGGGUGCAAGCGUUAAUCGGAAUUACUGGGCGUAAAGCGUGCGUAGUCGGUUAUUUACGUCGGGUGUGAAAGCCCCGGGCUCAACCUGGGAAUUGCAUUCGAUACUGGAUAGCUAGAGUUCGGCAGAGGGAAGCGGAAUUUCCGGUGUAGCGGUGAAAUGCGUAGAGAUCGGCAGGAACACCCGUGGCGCAAGCGGCCACCUAGCCCGUUGCUGACGCUGAGGCGCGACAGCGUGGGGAGCGAACUGG